GGGACAUCUAAUCUAAAUAAACUAGGCUCCAAAUCAGAUUUGGUUUUCUAUUUUUUUAAGUCUAAUCUAGUCCUAAUAUGAUUAGGACUUAUUGAAAUUUAAUUGGGUUUAAAAUAGCCAUUAAAUGAAGAGUCCCAUGUGAUUCAAACUCUUCCUUAUCCAUGCGCUAGAAGGACUCCAUGCCACCUUCAAUAUGUGCGCCCAAAAGACCCACAUCCUACCAGAUUUUCUUGACACCACUUUCCUCCCUUUUGUGCUUGUAAGAAAGAAGG
rnacentral:lncRNA from 1 species